GGCCGUGUGAUUGGCUGACGGGCUGCUAUGCAGAGAACGUGAUGAUGGCCGACUUUCCAGCCAUCGGGAUCAAGUCCAGGUUCACUCCGAGAUUUCACGCUUUGCAGGACUACAGGCCUGCAGACAGAAGCCCCAGUAUCUACGUGAGACAGCAGCGCCCCUCUCUCCUAAGACGGUCAUAGGCUGCCACCUGGCGUGAGACCACAGCGACAGCAGCGCCCCCCUCUCCACACAUGGUCCUAGGCUGCCACCUGGUGGUGAGUGUGUGCAACUGCA